CACGUAGGGGGCAAGCGUUGUCCGGAUUUAUUGGGCGUAAAGAGCUCGUAGGUGGCUGAGUAAGUCGGAUGUUAAAUCCCCAGGCUCAACCUGGGACACCACCCGAUACUGCUCUGGCUAGAGUCCGGUAGGGGAGCGUGGAAUUCCUGGUGUAGCGGUGGAAUGCGCAGAUAUCAGGAAGAACACCGAUGGCGAAGGCAGAUCUCUGGGCCGUAACUGACGCUGAGGAGCGAAAGCAUGGGGAGCGAACAGG
rnacentral:rRNA from 1 species